AAGAAGAAACAAAAAA
rnacentral:sRNA from 1 species